CAGAUGACACUAGCCAGCAUUCGAAGCAGGCGUUCUAUCAUCUAUGUUGAGAAGUCGAACAAUGGCGACGACGAUGUCAACAAAACAGUCUGAGGACAGCGUUAGCGUUGAGAAGGAGUCGAUGUUUAAGAGGAUGAUCCGAAAAUUGAAGAACAAAGGAUCUUCUGAAGACAGCGUGGAUGUUGGGGCCAUGGCCAAUCCAACUGACACAGGCAGCACAGAACCUGCGUUACAAGA